GUGCUCACUUCAACAGCACAUAUACUAAAAUCGGAAUGAUACAGAGAAGAUUAGCAUGGCUGCUGUGCAAGAAUGACACAUAAAUUAAUGCUACCAAUUUAG